ensembl:misc_RNA Metazoa_SRP Metazoan signal recognition particle RNA
GCUGGGCACGCUGCGCAUGCCUGUACUCCCAGCUACUUGGGAGGCUGAGGUGGGAAGAUGGCUUGAGCCCAGGAGUUCUGGGCUGUAGUGCGCUAUACCAAUCAGAUGUCCACACUAAGUUUGGCAUCAAUACGGUGACCUCCUGGGAGCAGAGGAACACCAGGUUGCCUAAAGAGGGGUGAACCGGCCCAGGUCAGAAAUGGAGCAGGUCAAAACUCCUGUGCUGAUCAGUAGUAGGAUUGCGCCUGUGAAUAGCCACUGCACUCCAGCCUGGGCAGCAUCGCGAGACACCCCUGUCUCUU